ensembl:lncRNA
GUUUUAUUGCCUCAUUCAUAUUGUAAAUAGUUUUAAUUGAGUUCAGUGAGUUUUAAUAUCUUCUACAAAACUGAACAGUGCAGCUUUAACAGGUCGCCGUUAAAGGGAUCUUGCAAUAUCCUGAAUAAAUGAGCAUACUGGUCUGUAUUAAUCAAUCUUUAAUAAAGCGUUUAGUUCGCGUGUGACUUAGUCGAUGGUUCCUCUGAGAGUUAAUUAGUGAAUAAUUAUCAGCUGCUUCAUGGUGUGAUGACGUGAGUUUACAAGAAAUAAACUGUGUGUGUGUGUGUGUGUGUGUGUGUGUUUGAGUCGCUCUGCUACAUGCAGGUCAUCAUUUCCCUGUCUUCUGAUCGAGGCUGAUUAGGAUCGUCUCAGUUGAGCAAUCGCACCUCUGACAUUUCCAGAGAAAGCAGCUCGUUCUUGUCAGCGCGCUGCUGCUGCUGCUACUGCAGGAUGUGUCACUGCUGCGUCCCACGCUGAUAACACACACUGCUGCAUUUCACAUGAGAUGCAAACUCACUUCCUUCAGUCCGCUCAGACACGCACACACACACACACACACACACACACACUGAUGAUCCGCACAGCCACAGGCAACAUACACACUCACGCACACACAUGGAGGCUACAGCUCACCCAGAGGAUCAGAAGGAAAUCACCGGGAAGAAAACUUCUGGGCAGUCAGUGUGUGUGAGCGGGCUGGAUGCAGUGUGAGAGCUCGCUGAAGGUUUCAGAGCAGUUUGAUCUCAACAUCUCAACCUGCGACAACAGGAAAUGAGAGGGAGAGAAAGAAAGAGCGCCAGGGACAGAAGUGAAACCUGCGUCGAUGAAGCUUCAACCUCGCCAUGCUCCUCGACUGUCUGAACUGAGGUGAUGGAGAGCUCACAGUCGUCCACGGUGAGGCGGCGAGCCUGGAUCAACAGCAGCCGGCAGUGGCCCACUCUGGAGCCCCUGGACCCCGACGGGCCGCUGUGCAGCCUCCCCUCUGCCUCUAUAGCAGACGACGAUGUCUUUUCUGACGGAUGCUUCACAGGAAAGAUCGAGAACUGGCUCCUGGGUUGUGGGUCAGAGGCCCGCUCAGAAAACUUUGCUCAGCUGAGUUUUGGUGAGUAUGAACUGAGAAGAAGGAACAAUGUGCCGUUGAGCAGCACUGGUCAAUUUUAUCGGAGCAAAAAAACUCCUGCACACUGUUUUUCUUGCAAUCAGGGAUAUUUAAUACACUUUUAUUUAACACUUUAAUUUCCUAAAAGCGCUCUGUAUACAGAAAUUGUGUUAUCAAAUUUCCCUGAUUCUAUCUGGGCAGUAUGCGCGAGCCUUUUUGUUCUAAUUUUGUCGACCCUGGGUCUUCACCCACACUUGUGUCGAUCCACAGGUGUGGGAAGGUUUUGCACAGUCAAUUUUCUGUGCACUGUCAUGCACUUAACAAAUGUACUGUCUGCCUGCAGUAAAUGCAAAUCAACUCCAAAGUGCACAGUUAAAAAACAAAAAGGGUUUUCUUUUCUCUUAAACUCUGUCCGCACACACCAGCAGUGGUGGAGCAAGUAUCCAGACUCCCUUUACUCAAAGAUGCACAAUGUUGUUUUGGGAAAUAAAUUUUAAUCAGAAGAGAUUUUUGACAGAUUUUUUUACGCAUACACCAAAAUUAAACCAAGUUAAGAAACUUUCUCUCCAUUUUCAUGAGUGAAUAAACUGAAUAAACAAACUGAGCUUAAAGGGCAACACAAUUUCAUCCUGCUUUACUUUGUUUAUAUGUGGCGGACCAUGACAAAUUUCCAGCUUCAAGCAGUGUUCUGGGGACCUUAUUUUCCUCCAAGAUUUGAUGACUUUCAUGGUGCCUUUUUUUUUUAACUGUAAAGGGUGACAGUCUGUUCUCAUGUACACAAAAGUUGUCUUAAAUCAUUG